GAGGGUAUGGCUCAAGUGGUAGAGCACAUGCUUAGCAUGCAUGAGGUCCUGGGUUCAAUCCCCAGUACUUCCA
rnacentral:tRNA from 1 species